rnacentral:lncRNA from 1 species
GUCUGGAGCUGGCAUGUCAGUUAACUGCUAGUAGUCUGUUGUUAUUUAUGUAUUAUUGUAAUUUUGAUUAUUUUCUUUUGUUACAUCUUCUGACAUCAGACUCGGACUUCUCUUGAACUGAAUUUUAAUGUGCGUAUUUUUAUGCGUUUACUUUUCUACAUUGGCUAGAGGUAUAGGGGGAGGGUUGAGAUCUCAUAAACAUGUUUAAACCCGCCGCAUUUUUGCGCCUGUCCCAAGUCAGGAGCCUCUGGCCUUUGUUAGUCUUGUAUUAUUUUUAAUUUUAGUUUCUUAUGUAUAAUUUGGAGUUAAAUACGGCGUUCAUUAUCACUGAAC